rnacentral:rRNA from 1 species
UACGUAGGGGGCUAGCGUUGUCCGGAAUCAUUGGGCGUAAAGCGCGUGUAGGCGGUCCGGUAAGUCCGCUGUGAAAGUCGGGGGGCUCAACCCUCGAAUGCCGGUGGAUACUGUCGGGCUGGAGUGCGGAAGAGGCGAGUGGAAUUCCUGGUGUAGCGGUGAAAUGCGUAGAUAUGCGGAGGAACACCGAUGGCGAAGGCAGCCUCCUGGGAUAACACUGACGCUCAUGCACGAAAAGCGUGGGGGAGCAAACAGG